rnacentral:lncRNA from 1 species
UUUAAUCACUUCAAAAUUGCCAAUAUUGAUGCUGCAAAAUUUUGUAUCCUCAAAACUUGACAAUCAAUGAAAAUAAAGAAAUCCAGAAUACUAGGAAUUCCUUGCUUACUGCUACAAAGAAGAGGACCAGACUAUGAUCGACUAUAGGGACCAUUUAAGGACUUUUUAAAAAACAUAAUGUUUUGACCAAAAGUAUGACCUUUGUAGACACUUUUUUUUAUGGUGUCCUAAUAUUUAAAUAAUUUGAGCAAAUGCUUAUUAUUAAAAAUUUCUAAUUACAUGAAUUAAAUUGAGAAUGGACAUAGGAAAAAGGGGAGUAGGUACAUGUAGUUAACAUAGCAAGUUUAGGAAAAAAACAGACGAGAGUAGCAUAUUUUGUAAUUUCAUUUAAUUUCGAAAUCAGGAAGGUCUAGAUUGCUUCAUCCCACAACCAAUAAUUGUUAUAAUUUGCCCAAAUUAGGGUAUAUGUUAAGCACGCCUAUUUUAGAGGGCCAGUAUGAGCUUUACUCAUAAAUUCAAAUAGCCUGAAAAAAAAUCGUGUAAUUAAAUUAGUUUUUCUAGUUCUUUAAAAAUGUCAGUAAUCUUUCCAGGAGUGUUAUGUUUCUCUAUUGUUUUUAAAUAUUGUUAUAUCAGAAUUAAUUUUAUAAUAUAAUGAAUUGUAUAGAAGGG